rnacentral:lncRNA from 1 species
CCAUAAAUUUUUAUGUCGGUCCAUUAAACUCAGUAAAAUAACAAAGCAAACAGGCACAGCUGAGUAUAUAUAAACAGGGAACAGUCUAAAUACACAUUUUUGGGGUUACAUGAACAGACAAGACAAAGAGCACUAAAGUAAUCACAGGUGUUUGCUGUGUAUUUAGGCGAUUAUAAGUCAGAUACAGCAAAAAUGCAGUAAUCUACACUAAUUAACACACUAGGGUUCCCAGAAAGAACUUGGCAAUUGUAAACCUACUAUCAGAUUUUCCUGUUACUUAAUUAUCAUUAUGAAAUAUAUUUCCUGACAUGAGGUAUUACUGUACAUAUUUAUUAUAAACUAAAUGACUAAACAAUACUUCAAAACAACUUUGAGCAAAAUGACUAUGAAUUAUACAUAUCUACAAUUAGAUGUUGCUAAGAUAAUUCUACUUACUCCUUUAAUUCUUUUCCCCAACUAUCUCAUCUAUAUCUAACUUGAGUGACUAUCAAGUAAGAAAAUUCAAGCUAAACUAUAGUAAUCUGUGUUCUCUACUCCUCUCCAAACAGGUUAUAAGUUAAACUGUGUCUUUGAGAACAUGUUUCACCACCUCAUUUUGACACUAACACAAUUGUUUAGGUUCUCUUCAUGUCUUGCAUUAUUACAAGUUUCUCAGCCUCCAUACCAGUUCACUGGUAUGAAUCUGCCUUUGCCACUUAUCAUUUUAACUUUAAAAUCUAAGUCAUUUCUUAAAGCCUGUUGUCAUAUAUUAUCCAAUUAUUCACUGAAUUAUCACAAGUAUUAGGUGUCGCACAAAAAUUAAAUAUACAUGGUCCACACAGACAAGGAGCUCACACACUAUCAUGCCCAUCAUAGCCAGAUGCUCCCUUCCUCAAACUCUAUACUGGCCCUAAAAUGAUUGUUUCCCUUGUUUCUUUCUAUAUUAUACAAUGACCUUCUUCUCAUCUCUGGCACAUAUAAUCAAAAUAUCUUGGAUUCUAAUCUUCAUGAUAACCUACCAAAUACUAGUAUAUCAGUAGUGGCAGUAGAAGUAGUAGUAGCAAAAGUGGCAUUGAUAAUACUUCUCACUGAAGGUCCUAGCAUAGUACCAGGAAUCUAAUCUUUAUUAAACUCUUUCACACUCUGUUAUUUACCACCCAACUAGCUAGUUAUCUUCAAUUAUGCACUCUGAAAGUAACAGAGUGGCAAAAGAAGGAUUCUAACCAAGGUUUCUGAAUUAAUAGCCUAGGUUCUUCACCUAUACUUCCUUUCAGAUGAUUAAAAGAUGGUUGCCUGGCUUCAGACCACUCCUUGCUAAUCUAUACAGAUCUGCCAGAUUAGUCUCCAUAAAAGGACCUCUUUCAUCUUAACAUUUCAUCUGCAUCUUAAAAUAACAGUUAGUUAUGCUCUAUCCAGUUAAGUUCCAAAUCCUUAGCCUGAUUUUUCUUUCCACCCCAUCUGUCUGCUUCAUUAUUUCCUAAAAGAAUAAAAAAUUUAAAAAAAUUUUCAAACUCUUUAAAAUCAUGCUCUGCCUCUACCUCUCACAUGCGUUUAACCCCUUCCCCAUAUCCUUCACCCAAUACACCUUCUAAAAAACUUUUAGGAUCCAUCUUAUGCUUUACCUCCUCCUUAAAGACUUCUCUAACUUCUUAAAUCCAGGAUCAUUUCUCAUGACCCCAUUUUUCUAUAUCUCCAUAAUACUGAGAGUCUCUAUUCAGAAAAUAAGUAAUUAAGCUAUGAACUCAGCAUGGUGUAAACUACAAAGGAUAUGACAUACCUUAUGAUGUCAAAUCACUUUAUGGAGUUAAUCAUGUUGGAAACUCUGUAAGAGAAACUGCUAAAGUGACUCUAAAGACAAAGCACCUGAUAAUCUGCCUUGAUCAUACAUUAGCACAGACUUUGGUGUUGAAUGUUUAAAGUACAGUAACUACCAGCAGUUCAUUUAUAAUUCACAGACUUUUUUGGCCCCAGAACCCAUUUAGAUCUUAAAUUUUUGACAACCCCAAAGAAAUUCUGUUUAUGUAUUUCUAGUUGUGCAAUGGUAUAUUUUCAACAGCCAGCUUUCCCUCCUUCACCCUCAAAAAUGCCAAAUUUGUAGCUUAUUUCCAUGGUGUAAAUACUCCAAAUGUGGCUAGUUUCAAGCUAGCAAUGUCACAUCUAAAUGAAUAUUUAAGAAGAGAUGAACAUUGGCUCUCUCAAGCUGGUUAAGAAUGGGCUUCAGUACCUUACUAGUUAUGUUUAUCCACCUGUCAUAAUAAAAAAUAAUAUGGAAGGAGGCAGUCCAAGAUGGCAGCACAGGAAGAUACUGAACUCACCCCCUCCCAUGGACAAACCAAGCCCAAGGCUAUGUAUGAAACAAUUCCCUUGGGGGAGGGGGGGAGACCUAAAAACUAGACAAAUAACUUCUACAUGGCAUACAAUAAAAAAGUCCUAUCAAGACAGGUAGCAGAGGCAUUCUCACUGAAAUCUAAUCCCAGUAUGGCAACCCGCAAUUGGAAGGGAUUUCACAAAUCCAGAGCUUCUCCCUGAAGAGUAAUGGGGUUCAUGCCCCAUAUCAGGCAAACCAAACCUUAAGACCUGGAUUAGGGACAAGCUUACAAAACAUCUGGCUUUGAAAACAAUGGGGCUCACAUCCAGGAGACCCAAAGGGCUGUAGGGACUGAGAUAUUUCUCUUAAAGGGCUUGAGCACAGACUAACUCACCUUGGGCACCAGCACAAAAGCAGCAGUUUGAAAACAUCUAGACUACACGUGAAGAAGAAUCAUUCACUAGUCUUAGAGCAUCUACCAUAGGGGCAGAGGCCUGUCGGGAUUCUGCAAGAGGACAGAGGAGCUGGCCAUUUUUCUGCUCUUUCUCUACCAUGACAGUACUUGCUGGUAUGCCCUGAUCCCGUGCUCUCCUAGAGCCCUGCUAAGGGUGGUGAGCACACCCCAGCCCUGUAUGCUCCACUUUCCCACAAAAGCUGGCAGACAUGGGCAGUAUACACAGGGGACACUCCUUGAUAAUCUACCUAGCUCUGAUGGCCAGAGGCACCAUCAUUCUUGGGUCCCGCAGGACUGUAACAAUUAGAAGUUGUGGCAGACUACCAUUCCCAGGGCACUACACAGACAGAAAUACACCCCAAAUCUUUCAGUGAAAAAGGACAAUUUACUUUUUCUGUAACUUUAUCUUGAAGGACAGAAUUGAGGCUUGACAGACAUCUGUAGACUACAAAGCUGUUCUCGGAAUGUAGGCUGGGGGACACCAUCUUUGUUCUAUCCCUUGGCCUUGCUAGAGCUCUCUAGUACCUUCCAGAAGAGAUUUUAAACAUGACUGAAGACCCAGUUUUUGCACAUCUUUGCCAAAGGACACCUCCAGAUCCCAGUAGAGUUCAUGAUUGCAGUCCCACAGGACUAUAUAUAUUCGCAUCCCUUAAAUAUGUCUGAGGGUCUGGCUUCUCAUCAACCUGAAGCUAGAUGCUGACUGAGAAAUUUCCCUUUGGAACAUUGAUAGAUUUGAGGCACAUUCUUAAAAACUGGGAACUAUCAGGAAUAAAUCAGGCUGCUUAGACAAUCACAAAGGUUCCAGAAACAACCAAGACCUAGGGUAAGGUUGAAAGAUAAGGUUCAUCUCCUAAAAUAAGGCCAUUCAGUCAAGACCAGGAAGGUAGCUGUUUCACCUAAUAUGUAGAAACAAACAGAGAUUCAGGCAAAAUGAGGAAAGAGAGGAACAUGUUCCAAAGGAAAGAACAAGAUAAAGCAUGAAAAAAAAAACCUUUAAUUAAAUGGAGAUAAAUAAUUUGCUUGAUAAAGAAUCAUCAAGAGGAGUUCUCAUCAUGGCUCAGUGGUUAACGAAUCUGACUAGGAACCAUAAGGUUGUGGGUUCGAACCCUGGCCUUGCUCAGUGGGUCAAGGAUCUGGCAUUGCCAUGAGCUGUGGUGUAGGUUGCAGAUGGAUCUGGCAUUGCUGUGGCUCUGGCAUAGGCCAGAG